UGGUGGACUAGGCCGGGCUGUUAGGCGUAGCCUGUUACCCUCAACCGUCUAUAGGGGGGGCUGAAUGCCGGGGGAAGGACCAUAGGGUUAUUUUUGGUCCACGUUGGGACUGUGAGUUCCUGUCCUGUUUGGCUGUCUGCACAGGGAAUCGGGUCAGGACCGGAAGGUAGCAGCCAUAACUUAUGCGGUAGGCGCUUACAGGGGUGCGGGAGCGAGAACCAGCUUGGGUUGCCCAAGAAAUGAUUCUGCGGCACAACCCUUGGAUGUCCGCCA
rnacentral:SRP_RNA from 1 species